rnacentral:rRNA from 1 species
GCAGCAGUGGGGAAUAUUGCGCAAUGGGGGAAACCCUGACGCAGCGACGCCGCGUGCGGGACGAAGGCCUUCGGGUCGUAAACCGCUGUCAAGAGGGAAGAAACUGUUUUGGUAUAAUACGCCAAUUCACUGACGGUACCUCUAGAGGAAGCACCGGCUAACUCCGUGCCAGCAGCCGCGGUAAUACGGAGGGUGCAAGCGUUWAUCGGAAUCACUGGGCGUAAAGCGUGCGUAGGCGGCGCAUCAAGUCAGACGUGAAAGCCCUCGGCUCAACCGAGGAAUUGCGUUUGAAACUGAUGUGCUAGAGUCUCGGAGAGGUUGGCGGAAUUCCAGGUGUAGGAGUGAAAUCCGUAGAUAUCUGGAGGAACACCGGUGGCGAAGGCGGCCAACUGGACGAGUACUGACGCUGAGGUACGAAAGCGUGGGGAGCAAACAGGAUUAGAUACCCUGGUAGUCCACGCUGUAAACGAUGGAUAUUAGGUGUCGGGGGUUUACCUUCGGUGCCGCUAGUUAACGC